rnacentral:rRNA from 1 species
UACGGAGGAUCCGAGCGUUAUCCGGAUUUAUUGGGUUUAAAGGGUGCGCAGGCGGCUUUUUAAGUCAGCGGUGAAAUUUUGCAGCUUAACUGUAACAGUGCCGUUGAUACUGUUUGGCUAGGAUUUGGUUGUAGUGUGCGGAAUGUGUGGUGUAGCGGUGAAAUGCUUAGAUAUCACACAGAACACCGAUUGCGAAGGCAGCACACUAAGUCAUUAUUGACGCUGAGGCACGAGAGUGUGGGGAUCAAACAGGA